CGGCGUUACAAUGGAAGAUUAAGGGGCUGUUUUGGAGGAGGUUUAACACUGUGGGAUUAGGUUAUGUUAAUCCUAACCUCCGAUUGGACGUAGGGUUAUAGAAGCCCUAGUUUUAGGGUUUCCAUAACACGGGUUGGGCCCUCAAAAUCUUCCAUUCUGUCUGCCGAUUUGUCUCCCUCGUGGUUCUCCUUCAACCCGUGUUAAUCCAUCUCAUUCAACCCGUGUUCCCAUUUGAUCCCUCCUUCCCCUUCGAUUCCGAUUUCACUUCUUCUUUCUUCUUUCUUUUUCUUCUUCUUUCUCCCUAUUUCCCUUCGAUUCCGAUUUCACUUCCUUUUGGUUGCGGUUUGAUCUUUGAUUUUGAUUUCGAUUUCGAUUCUGAUUUAUGAGGAGAAGGCAGGUGACUUGGGUCUCGGAGAGCUGAUUGAUGGCGACGAUUCGAGUGUGGGUCAAAUUUUUCAUUGUAAUGUUAACCCCACUUCUCAAAGGUUCGGCACAAUUUACUCUCAAUUUUUUAAAAAUUCUUUAGAAUAAAUCAUGUUCUUAUGAAUUUGGAGUGAAUAGGAAGUUUAACCAUAAUAAGUUGUCUUAAUGUGGUUUCUAAAACAAAUUAACAGGUUAUUUUAUGGAAAGGUUUCAAAUAGCCCCUGCAUUUUUCUAUUACAGAUGAAAAAUAGAGGAAAUUGUAGGACAUUUUCCCCUGUCAUUGCUGGGCCUAAGCAUUUGACAGACCUUUAUUUGCAUUACAACUUGUUGUUUGAAGAUAUUCUUAGAGAGAUUGCUAACUUGACUCUGCUUUCUGGUUUGUAUUUGAAUGUUAAUAAUUUUUCUGGGGAGAUUCCUUCUGAGAUUGGAAACAUGGGGAGCUUGCAAGUUUUGCCUUUGUUAUAAUCUACUCAGUGGAAGCAUACCUACACAACUUUCAUCUUUGAAGAAGCUCAUUGUUAUUGUUCUCCAAUCUAAUCAGUUAACUGGUACAAUCUCUGCAAGCUUGGGACGUUUGGACUUGUUAGUGAGAGUGGACUUGAGCUCCAAUCAUCUGUUUGGUUUCGUUCCUUGAAGGCUUGCUGAUGCGCCUUCGCUUGAAGUUCUUGAUGUUUGAAACAAUACCCUCUCUGGCAAUGUACCUCCUGGUACCAAUUGAUCUUUAAACCAUUUUAUAAGGAAGAUGUACUUAUUUUUUGUGUUCUGUUCAUUUUUGUUUUCUUUUACAUGAAACUAACUAGAACAUUGUUUUGCUUUUGUGUUGGAUCUGAUGAAGCUUUGAUGAGACUUAAUGAAGGAUUCUUGCAUGCUAACAA